rnacentral:lncRNA from 1 species
GUCCAUCCAGUAUUGCAAAUCUCCGAUCCAGAGAGUACGGACCUCAUCGGCGCUAGUAGGUUGUGCCUGUUGUUGUUGAGGGAGAGAUUGAGGAGGGGGUUGUGCGGAUGGGGCCCACAUCUGAGGCGGUUGUGUGUGAGGUUGUGGCUGAGGAGGCAUCAUCAUGUAGGGUUGUUGUUGGUAUUGUUGGGGCAUGGUGGGUGGAGGAAUACCGGGUCCUGGUUGCAUCAUCUUCUCUUCUUCUUAGGAAUGAAU